rnacentral:rRNA from 1 species
AUUGAACUCUGUCUGCAGGCUUACCACAUGCAAGUCGAGCGAGCGGCGGACGGGUGAGUACUGUCUGUGAAACUGCCUGAUGGAGGGGGAUAACUACUGGACACGGUAGCUAAUACCGCAUACCAUCAGAUGUUCCCAGAUGGGAUUAGCUAGUAGGUGGGGUAAUGGCUCACCUAGGCGACGAUCCCUCGCUGGUCUGAGAGGAUGAACAGUCACACUGGAACUGAGACACGGUCCAGACUCCUACGGGAGGCAGCAGUGGGGAAUAUUGCACAAUGGGCGCAAGCCUGAUGCAGCCAUGCCGCGUGUGUGAAGAAGGCCUUCGGGUUGUAAAGCACUUUCAGCGAGGAGGCGUUACUCGCAGAAGAAGCACCGGCUAACUCCGUGCCAGCAGCCGCGGUAAUAC